AUUGAACGCUGGCGGCAUGCUUUACACAUGCAAGUCGAACGGUAACAGGCCGCAAGGUGCUGACGAGUGGCGAACGGGUGAGUAAUGCAUCGGAACGUGCCCAGUCGUGGGGGAUAACUACUCGAAAGAGUAGCUAAUACCGCAUACGAUCUAUGGAUGAAAGCGGGGGACCGUAAGGCCUCGCGCGAUUGGAGCGGCCGAUGUCAGAUUAGGUAGUUGGUGGGGUAAAGGCUCACCAAGCCAACGAUCUGUAGCUGGUCUGAGAGGACGACCAGCCACACUGGGACUGAGACACGGCCCAGACUCCUACGGGGGGCAGCAGUGGGGAAUUUUGGACAAUGGGCGCAAGCCUGAUCCAGCAAUGCCGCGUGCAGGAAGAAGGCCUUCGGGUUGUAAACUGCUUUUGUACGGAACGAAACGGCUCUGGUUAAUACCCGGGGCUAAUGACGGUACCGGAAGAAUAAGCACCGGCUAACUACGUG
rnacentral:rRNA from 1 species